CAGUCGCCACGGUAAUACGUAGGGUGCAAGCGUUAAUCGGAAUUACUGGGCGUAAAGCGUGCGUAGGUGGUGGUUUAAGUCCGUUGUGAAAGCCCUGGGCUCAACCUGGGAAUUGCAGUGGAUACUGGGUCACUAGAGUGUGGUAGAGGAUAGUGGAAUUUCCGGUGUAGCAGUGAAAUGCGUAGAGAUCGGAAGGAACAUCUGUGGCGAAGGCGACUAUCUGGGCCAACACUGACACUGAGGCACGAAAGCGUGGGGAGCAAACAGGAUUAGAUACCCCCGUAGUCCCUGUCUCUUAUAC
rnacentral:rRNA from 1 species